rnacentral:rRNA from 1 species
UUGUACACACCGCCCGUCACACCAUGGGAGUGGGUUGCAAAAGAAGUAGGUAGCUUAACCUUCGGGAGGGCGCUUACCACUUUGUGAUUCAUGACUGGGGUGAAGUCGUAACAAGGUAACCGUAGGGAACCUGCGGUUGGAUCACCUCCUUACCUUAAAGAA